CAUGCAAGUCGAGCGGAUGAGAAGAGCUUGCUCUUCGAUUCAGCGGCGGACGGGUGAGUAAUGCCUAGGAAUCUGCCUGGUAGUGGGGGAUAACGUCCGGAAACGGGCGCUAAUACCGCAUACGUCCUACGGGAGAAAGCAGGGGACCUUCGGGCCCUGCGCUAUCAGAUGAGCCUAGGUCGGAUUAGCUAGUUGGCGGGGUAAAGGCCCACCAAGGCGACGAUCCGUAACUGGUCUGAGAGGAUGAUCAGUCACACUGGAACUGAGACACGGUCCAGACUCCUACGGGAGGCAGCAGUGGGGAAUAUUGGACAAUGGGCGAAAGCCUGAUCCAGCCAUGCCGCGUGUGUGAAGAAGGUCUUCGGAUUGUAAAGCACUUUAAGUUGGGAGGAAGGGUUGUAACCUAAUACGUUGCAAUUUUGACGUUACCGACAGAAUAAGCACCGGCUAACUUCGUGCCAGCAGCCGCGGUAAUACGAAGGGUGCAAGCGUUAAUCGGAAUUACUGGGCGUAAAGCGCGCGUAGGUGGUUAGGUAAGUUGAAUGUGAAAGCCCUGGGCUCAACCUGGGAACUGCAUCCAAAACUGCUUGGCUAGAGUACGGUAGAGGGUAGUGGAAUUUCCUGUGUAGCGGUGAAAUGCGUAGAUAUAGGAAGGAACACCAGUGGCGAAGGCGACUACCUGGACUGAUACUGACACUGAGGUGCCAAAGCGUGGGGAGCAAACAGGAUUAGAUACCCUGGUAGUCCACGCCGUAAACGAUGUCAACUAGUUGUUGGGUUCCUUGAGGACUUAGUAACGCACCUAACGCAUUAAGUUGACCGCCUGGGGAGUACGGCCGCAAGGUUAAAACUCAAAUGAAUUGACGGGGGCCCGCACAAGCGGUGGAGCAUGUGGUUUAAUUCGAAGCAACGCGAAGAACCUUACCUGGCCUUGACAUGCUGAGAACUUUCCAGAGAUGGAUUGGUGCCUUCGGGAACUCAGACACAGGUGCUGCAUGGCUGUCGUCAGCU
rnacentral:rRNA from 1 species